UUCUCCUUAGCUCAGUUGGCUAGAGCGUUCGACUGUUAAUCGAGAGGUCCACAGUUCAAGCCUGUGAGGGGAAG
rnacentral:tRNA from 1 species